rnacentral:rRNA from 1 species
GACGAACGCUGGCGGCGUGCCUAAUACAUGCAAGUCGAGCGGAUGGAAGGAAGCUUGCUUCCUAAAGUCAGCGGCGGACGGGUGAGUAACACGUGGGCAACCUGCCCCUAAGAUCGGGAUAACUUCGGGAAACCGGAGCUAAUACCGGAUAUGAUUAUGUCUCACAUGAGACAUAAUGGAAAGACGGUUUCGGCUGUCACUUAGGGAUGGGCCCGCGGCGCAUUAGCUAGUUGGUGAGGUAACGGCUCACCAAGGCGACGAUGCGUAGCCGACCUGAGAGGGUGAUCGGCCACACUGGGACUGAGACACGGCCCAGACUCCUACGGGAGGCAGCAGUAGGGAAUCUUCCGCAAUGGACGAAAGUCUGACGGAGCAACGCCGCGUGAGUGAAGAAGGUUUUCGGAUCGUAAAACUCUGUCGUUAGGGAAGAACAAGUACCAUAGUAACUGAUGGUACCUUGACGGUACCUAACCAGAAAGCCACGGCUAACUACGUGCCAGCAGCCGCGGUAA